rnacentral:rRNA from 1 species
UACUCCUACGGGAGGCAGCAGUAGGGAAUCUUCCACAAUGGACGAAAGUCUGAUGGAGCAACGCCGCGUGAACGAUGAAGGCCUUCGGGUCGUAAAGUUCUGUUGUAAGGGAAGAACAAGUGCCGCAGGCAAUGGCGGCACCUUGACGGUACCUUGCGAGAAAGCCACGGCUAACUACGUGCCAGCAGCCGCGGUAAUA